CGGGUAAAACUCCUGCUUGUUACCGUUUCAUCUGGCCGAAGCCGGAUGUCGUUUUGGUGUCUGAUUCGGUAAAGAACCGGGAGCACCAUCUGCGUAGGUUUUCCUGUUUAAGGCUUGCGCCACCUACGGUCUUGGAUAGCCCCCGCCAGGCAGGGACCCCAAUUUUUGCAAACGAGCGUGAAAUUCACGCCC
rfam:Pseudomonas sp. M30-35, complete genome.